rnacentral:rRNA from 1 species
AGCAGCCGCGGUAAUUCCAGCUCCAAUAGCGUAUAUUAAAGUUGUUGCAGUUAAAAAGCUCGUAGUUGAAUUUCGGGGUUAGCAAGUUGGUCGUGCCUUUGGUAUGCACUGGCUUUGCUGAUUCCUCCUUCUUGAAGAACUGUGAUGCUAUUAAUUUGGUGUUGCGGGGAAACAGGACUGUUACUUUGAAAAAAUUAGAGUGUUUAAAGCAGGCUAACGCUUGAAUACAUUAGCAUGGAAUAAUGAAAUAGGACGUUUGAUCCUAUUUUGUUGGUUUCUAGGAUUGACGUAAUGAUUAAUAGGGAUAGUUGGGGGCAUUAGUAUUCAAUUGUCAGAGGUGAAAUUCUUGGAUUUAUUGAAGACUAACUACUGCGAAAGCAUUUGCCAAGGAUGUUUUCAUUAAUCAAGAACGAAAGUUAGGGGAUCGAAGACGAUCAGAUACCGUCGUAGUCUUAACCAUAGACUAUGCCGACUAGGGAUCGGAUGAUGUUAAUUUUUUAAUGACUCAUUCGGCGU